AGUAACUGGAGACGUUCUAGAAAUCCACGCAUAAAUCUUUUGCCUUUUACUAAAAAUUUCCGUGGAGGGAACAUUUGUGAAUUUCUGGGAUUUUGUACGCUCUGCUCACAACAGAGCU